GUUUCCCCGCCCUGCCCCACGCCACUCAAAUGCAGGAUGGCCACUGGGGAGCUGGGACUACAGCUCCCGGCGUGCACUGCGCCAGCAGGAUAGUACCUGGCUACAUUUUAUUCUGAAAAACUUCUUCCUGCCUGCUGCAGCUGACCUUCAGGAUGCUCCUUGGUCUCCCAAGCAAGGUGCCAUCUUUUGAUUCCUUCCUGAGGGCUCCUGGCCUGAUGCUGUGCUCACACUGGUGUGAAGUGAGGAGUAGCUUCGCUGCAGCAAACAGAGCUCUGCCAAGGCAAAAUUUCUGUGGAAGGCGAUCAUCCCUUUGUUUUAAUAUUAGCUAAUAAAGCCUGUGCACAGCUCCAGCACUGGCUCCAGCACUCUGGUUUUAAUUAAUAAAAAUUAGCAUAUUCAGCUACA
ensembl:lncRNA